CUAUUUACGUUUGAUUCGUUGAUGCAUCCGUGGACGUGAUAUGAUGGAAGCUGUUCUGUUCGCGUACGUUGCUGAUGCUCUGCAGGCAUUGCUCUUCUGGCACUGUCAAUAUCACUGUGUGGCUCUUGUAGUGGAGCGUUUUCUACUCUGACAUUGGCUGCUAACAGUAUCGAUGCUCCCUUCUUGUCUGUAGCGACCUGGCUUGGUUGUCCGUGGUUGCUUUGGGGUAUCCAUUCAAUACUGUGUAUGCCGUCUUGGAAGCGUUCAGCAUAAUCAUAGGGAAUUACUUGCCUCCAGUCAAGUCCGACUAUGAGUGGGUGAGGCAGGUCCUUCACGAUUUUUACCUCUACAAUGGCACAUGCCUCUCCGACUGCUACCGUGGCUUGCAUAAUCCCUAAUGGCUGGGAAUGUUCACCAAAGGGUCCUUUCAGCAUGAAUGCUCCAGACUCUGUAAAGGCAAGUCCGUGUCUGGCAGCGAAGUCAUGAGAAAGAAGAGUGACGGCUGAGCCAGUAUCCCAUAAGCCCUCAACUUCGAUUCCAUUGACGGUGGCUGGCAAAAUAAUUGAUCUUGUAGUGGCACUGUGUGCUAUAACAACAUUGUUAACGUUGGACCGCAAUGUUGAUGGUUGGUGUGUCACUGAUUUUGCCUCCUUGCUUGACGGCUUGCGAGCUUCCCACCUUUGUUUUGCGGCAAUUUUUUCUUCUUCGGAGCGUGUGUCCAGUUGUGGGCAGUCUUUGGCUCUAUGCCCUAGCGUAUGACAUCUGGCGCACAUCUCACGCGGCAGUCUUGUUUUGUGUCGGUCGUCAUUUUCUUUCUCUGGCGGGGUUACCGUUGGAGCUUUACUUUCGCUACGCUUGAGAGGUUGACCUUUUUUUUCCUCCUGGUGUCUGUCCAUUUGUCUCGCGUACUGCAGGAAAUCCGAGAUCGUGCCUUUUCGCAGGUCAUAGAAUGCUCUUAGUAUUGGUCGGCAUUCUUGUGAUGAUGUCCCCUCAAUCAGCCAAUCGACAAUGUCGCAAUCCGAUAGCUGGUACUUCCCACUUUUAAUGCGUUGUAGACGGGCGUACAUAUAAUCGACGACGCUUGACAGCGUUGGUUUACGAAAGUCACCCACUGUCUGAAGAGUAGUGGUUUAUCAAAUUCGGUUCGAAAGGCUUCAAUCCAUGCGUCCCAGUCGUUGAAGGUGGUCCCUGUUGUUUUGUGCCACGCCGUGGCACGUCCUCGGAGACGGGAAAUGGCAGCGCUGAGUGUACCGGCAUUGCUCCAUGAACAGCGGUCACGCAUCGUUGUAACGGCCGCUAACCAGUCCUUGAAAUUUUCUCCAUCUGUGCCAGCAUAUGUAGGUAAAGUAGACGUCAGGUCUGGCAUAGUCGUGAUGUUUAUCGGUUGGUUUCCGUUCGUGGUUGUCGCUAACCCUAGCGUCUGUCUUUCGAGGAGUUUUGCCAUUAUUUCGAGCGUCUUCUGCAUGGCGAUAAGCUCAGGGCUGGAUUGUUGCGUUGUGAACGGUCGCAGCACUGGGGGAAAGUCGUAGUGGUCCCCUACCUUAGUUGUCGUCGUGGUUUCUCUUUGUCCGAGCUCGGGCGUUGCUGUCGGCGUACCCGUCAAAGAAAAAGCCUGGCCUGAGUCUGCUGCCUCGCAUGAUUCUUGAGUCCUCGUCGCCAUGUCACAUGUCAAAACAGUCGACAGGAGGAAAACGAAUACGUUUAAUGAAAGUAAUAGCAUUGGUUACAUCGGAACAUUCUCCCGCGCGAUCUUCCUUUUCGCCAUCUUGUCUCUCUCUCUCUCCAGUGUUUCCAGCCGUUUCCGCGCCUGUGCUGUGACUAGCUGCUGACAAUCAUCAUGCAUUUUGGAUCUUCAUGUAAACCUUAAGCUGCUUGGGCUCAAAGGAAAAUGUCGAUCCAUCGUGUGCUAUUAAGAACAUCUCACAUACUUUGUUGAAUGAUUCAAGAUGACCACAAGUUCUUUGGAUCUGUCGUUGCUGGGAACAGCAAUCCUGCGAAGUGGCACUGGUUGCCUACCAGCUAGCCUCUGUCCGAGCAGGCCACUUCACCGUUACUUGAAGCUGCUGCCGGCUAAAAGAAGCUGAGCAAGCUCCGUGCGCAUAUGCCCACUGAUGUAACCUGGAGCAGAGAUGGUCACUUCUGGGCACACCAUCCUUCCUGGCCAAGUCGUGUCGAAAGGCAUCCAAGACACCCUUGCCCUUGGAUCACUUUCUGGAAGAAGAUCCAGGAGGGGGCAUCUCUUUUGCAUGGUUUCUCGUGAUACUGAGGGUAUACAGUGGAUCAGCCCUGCAGGGGCAGCAAGCUGAAGAACAAAGCCAGAACCUAUGAAGAAGUUCUGGAGAUUGUGUCGAAAACAGCACAAGUAUUCAACAGAUGUCACAGAUUUUUCACCAUUUCUCUGUAUGUACAAUAAAUGCUCAGUCCUGUACUCUA